rnacentral:rRNA from 1 species
UACGUAGGUGGCGAGCGUUGUCCGGAUUUACUGGGCGUAAAGAGCGCGCAGGCGGUCGUACAAGUCGCGUGUGAAAGCCCCCCGGCUCAACUGGGGAGGGUCACGCGAUACUGUUCGACUCGAAGGCAGGAGAGGGAAGCGGAAUUCCCGGUGUAGUGGUGAAAAUGCGUAGAUAUCAGGAGGAACACCUGUGGUGUAGACGCUUUCUGGACCAUAGCUGACGCUGAGACACGAAAGCGUGGGUAGCAAACAGG